rnacentral:rRNA from 1 species
UGGGGAAUAUUGCACAAUGGGCGCAAGCCUGAUGCAGCCAUGCCGCGUGUGUGAAGAAGGCCUUCGGGUUGUAAAGCACUUUCAGCGGGGAGGAAGGCGGUGAGGUUAAUAACCUCACCGAUUGACGUAACCCGCAGAAGAAGCACCGGCUAACUCCGUGCCAGCAGCCGCGGUAAUACGGAGGGUGCAAGCGUUAAUCGGAAUUACUGGGCGUAAAGCGCACGCAGGCGGUCUGUCAAGUCGGAUGUGAAAUCCCCGGGCUCAACCUGGGAACUGCAUUCGAAACUGGCAGGCUAGAGUCUUGUAGAGGGGGGUAGAAUUCCAUGUGUAGCGGUGAAAUGCGUAGAGAUGUGGAGGAAUACCGGUGGCGAAGGCGGCCCCCUGGACAAAGACUGACGCUCAGGUGCGAAAGCGUGGGGAGCAAACAGG